rnacentral:rRNA from 1 species
UACAGAGGUCUCAAGCGUUGUUCGGAUUCAUUGGGCGUAAAGGGUGCGUAGGCGGCGUGGUAAGUCGGGUGUGAAAUCUUGGAGCUUAACUCCGAAACUGCAUUCGAUACUGCCGUGCUUGAGGACUGGAGAGGAGACUGGAAUUUACGGUGUAGCGGUGAAAUGCGUAGAUAUCGUAAGGAAGACCAGUGGCGAAGGCGGGUCUCUGGACAGUUCCUGACGCUGAGGCACGAAGGCCAGGGGAGCAAACGGG